rnacentral:rRNA from 1 species
GACGAACGCUGGCGGCGUGCCUAAUACAUGCAAGUAGAACGCUGAAGGAAGGAGCUUGCUCUUUCCGGAUGAGUUGCGAACGGGUGAGUAACGCGUAGGUAACCUGCCUGGUAGCGGGGGAUAACUAUUGGAAACGAUAGCUAAUACCGCAUAACAGUAGAUAUCGCAUGAUAGCUGCUUGAAAGGUGCAAAUGCACCACUACCAGAUGGACCUGCGUUGUAUUAGCUAGUUGGUGAGGUACGGCUCACCAAGGCAACGAUACAUAGCCGACCCGAGAGGGUGAUCGGCCACACUGGGACUGAGACACGGCCCAGACUCCUACGGGAGGCAGCAGUAGGGAAUCUUCGGCAAUGGACGGAAGUCUGACCGAGCAACGCCGCGUGAGUGAAGAAGGUUUUCGGAUCGUAAAGCUCUGUUGUAAGAGAAGAACGAGUGUGAGAGUGGAAAGUUCACACUGUGACGGUAUCUUACCAGAAAGGGACGGCUAACUACGCGCCAGCCGCCGCCGUAA